AUACAUUUUCUUUUCACAACAGCACCUAGAUACCACCCUGAUUAACAAUCAGUCAGGGCACAUAUUUGCAUGGAGAGCAAUCAUAACUGCAUAGGGUAUAUUAGUGUUUUCUGAGAAAGUAGAAAUACCAUAUUUUUUUCCUUCAAUCAUAUGUUCUUCAGGAGUGACUCUCCUUCCAAUAGCUUGAUUUCAACAGAAAUUUUCUUUGGCUUUUUGGGCUCCCCCCGCCCCACAGAAGCAAGAUACUCAUUGUGGGAGAUAGAAAUGCUGUGAAGGCCACUAACAUCUCAUUGAAGAGAAAGAACAGAAAUCUGAUGGCUUUCCAUUGAGGGACAGCUGCUCAAAGGGAGGUUAAGUAAGCACAAUAUGUUGGAUACAGCUUUUCCCCACUGGAGAAAUGUGUACCAAAGCACUUCAGAGCUCUCCAUCAGAUCAGUGUUCUGGUGUCAGUGCUGUAAACAAUUUCAAUAGGAUGCUGGCUGGGAGAAGUGGAGAGAGAACAGAAAAGAAAAGGAGGAAAACAAAAGAUGGGACUGAUGGAUCCACCAUUGCAGAGCAGUUAACUGGCUACAGACCUGCCCCAAUAACCAGUGUCUUCUCAUUUCCCUGGGCAAGCAAAACUCUGCAUUUUUGUGACAGCCUCAACAGGAGAUAGAGUGGGAUACUGUGGAUAAGGCAGCCUCUGGGUCAGUGGCUCAGGCUGGCUGAGAUGAUGGCUACACCACAAAGACAGGCAAACAAAAUCCCUGUUUCCCCCUGG
rnacentral:lncRNA from 1 species